rnacentral:rRNA from 1 species
GACAGCAGUCGCCGCGGGAAAACGGAGGGGGCUAGCGUUGUUCGGAAUUACUGGGCGUAAAGCGCACGUAGGCGGCUUGGUAAGUUAGAGGUGAAAGCCUGGAGCUCAACUCCAGAAUUGCCUUUAAGACUGCCGAGCUAGCAGGUGAGAGAGGUAAGUGGAAUUCCGAGUGUAGAGGUGAAAUUCGUAGAUAUUCGGAAGAACACCAGUGGCGAAGGCGGCCAUCUGGGACAACACUGACGCUGAGGCACGAAAGCGUGGGGAGCAAACAGGAUUAGAUACCCCUGUAGUCCCUGUCUCUUAUAC